CCUACGGGUGGCAGCAGUGGGGAAUAUUGCACAAUGGGGGAAACCCUGAUGCAGCGACGCCGCGUGAGUGAAGAAGUAUUUCGGUAUGUAAAGCUCUAUCAGCAGGGAAGAAAAUGACGGUACCUGACUAAGAAGCCCCGGCUAACUACGUGCCAGCAGCCGCGGUAAUACGUAGGGGGCAAGCGUUAUCCGGAUUUACUGGGUGUAAAGGGAGCGCAGACGGCAAUGCAAGCCAGGAGUGAAAGCACGGGGCCCAACCCCGGGACUGCUCUUGGAACUGCAUGGCUGGAGUACAGGAGGGGCAGGCGGAAUUCCUAGUGUAGCGGUGAAAUGCGUAGAUAGUAGGAGGAACACCGGUGGCGAAGGCGGCCUGCUGGACCGCGACUGACGUUGAGGCUCGAAAGCGUGGGGAGCGAACAGGAUUAGAUACCCCAGUAGUC
rnacentral:rRNA from 1 species